UGCCAGCAGCCGCGGUAAUACGGAGGGUGCAAGCGUUACUCGGAAUCACUGGGCGUAAAGAGAAUGUAGGCGGGUAAUUAAGUCAGAAGUGAAAUCCAAUAGCUCAACUAUUGAACUACUUUUGAAACUGGUUAUCUAGAAUAUGGGAGAGGUAGAUGGAAUUUCUGGUGUAGGGGUAAAAUCCGUAGAGAUCAGAAGGAAUACCGAUUGCGAAGGCGAUCUACUAGAACAUUAUUGACGCUUAGAUUCGAAAGCGUGGGGAGCAAACAGGAUUAGAUA
rnacentral:rRNA from 1 species